rnacentral:rRNA from 1 species
UACGAAGGGGGCUAGCGUUGUUCGGAAUUACUGGGCGUAAAGCGCACGUAGGCGGAUUGUUAAGUCAGAGGUGAAAUCCCGGAGCUCAACUUCGGAACUGCCUUUGAUACUGGCAAUCUAGAGUCCGGAAGAGGUUAGUGGAAUUCCCAGUGUAGAGGUGAAAUUCGUAGAUAUUGGGAAGAACACCAGUGGCGAAGGCGGCUAACUGGUCCGGUACUGACGCUGAGGUGCGAAAGCGUGGGGAGCAAAC